rnacentral:rRNA from 1 species
GACGAACGCUGGCGGCGUGCCUAAUACAUGCAAGUAGAACGCUGAAGGAGGAGCUUGCUUCUCUGGAUGAGUUGCGAACGGGUGAGUAACGCGUAGGUAACCUGCCUGGUAGCGGGGGAUAACUAUUGGAAACGAUAGCUAAUACCGCAUAAGAGUAGAUGUUGCAUGACAUUUGCUUAAAAGGUGCAAUUGCAUCACUACCAGAUGGACCUGCGUUGUAUUAGCUAGUUGGUGGGGUAACGGCUCACCAAGGCGACGAUACAUAGCCGACCUGAGAGGGUGAUCGGCCACACUGGGACUGAGACACGGCCCAGACUCCUACGGGAGGCAGCAGUAGGGAAUCUUCGGCAAUAGACGGAAGUCUGACCGAGCAACGCCGCGGGAGUGAAGAAGGGUUUCGGAUCGUAAAGCUCUGUUGUAAGAGAAGAACGAGUGUGAGAGUGGAAAGUUCACACUGUGACGGUAGCUUACCAGAAAGGGACGGCUAACUACGUG